rnacentral:rRNA from 1 species
CCUACGGGAGGCAGCAGUGAGGAAUAUUGGUCAAUGGACGAGAGUCUGAACCAGCCAAGUAGCGUGAAGGAUGACUGCCCUAUGGGUUGUAAACUUCUUUUAUAUGGGAAUAAAAUGGUCCACGUGUGGUCUUUUGUAUGUACCUUAUGAAUAAGGAUCGGCUAACUCCGUGCCAGCAGCCGCGGUAAUACGGAGGAUCCGAGCGUUAUCCGGAUUUAUUGGGUUUAAAGGGAGCGUAGGUGGAUUGUUAAGUCAGUUGUGAAAGUUUGCGGCUCAACCGUAAAAUUGCAGUUGAUACUGGCAGUCUUGAGUACAGUAGAGGUGGGCGGAAUUCGUGGUGUAGCGGUGAAAUGCUUAGAUAUCACGAAGAACUCCGAUUGCGAAGGCAGCUUACUGGACUGCAACUGACACUGAGGCUCGAAAGUGUGGGUAUCAAACAGGAUUAGAUACCCCUGUAGUC